GGAUGUGAGGGCAAUCUGGCUGUGACAUCUGUCACCCCAUUAAUCACCAGGGUUGAUUUGGCUGAUCUGGCUGGCUAGGCUCCCUCACCUCUCCAUCUGCAUCCCUCCUGAAGCUGCAGCGCUCGGUCCAAGAGGACGGCCUUUACCGAAUAGAGAUGGACCAGUCUUCGGUCGAGGGUCUGUGAGUAGCUGUGCUCCCCUGCUAGAAUCUCCAAACAAGCUCUCAAGGUCCAUUAUGCUAGAGCCCCACCUCCACCCCCCUUAAUCUUUUUUUUUAUUAUAUUUAUUUAUUGGAU
rnacentral:snRNA from 1 species